AUACGGAGGGGGCGAGCGUUAUUCGGAAUUAUUGGGCGUAAAGGGCAGGUAGGCGGUACUGUGUGUCCCCUGUGAAAGCCCUCGGCUCAACCGAGGAAUUGCAGAGGAAACUACAGAACUUGAGUCCGGGAGAGGGUAGCGGAAUUCCCAGUGUAGCGGUGAAAUGCGUAGAUAUUGGGAAGAACACCAGUGGCGAAGGCGGCCACCUGGCCCGGUACUGACGCUGAGGUGCGAAAGCGUGGGGAGCAAACAGGAUUAGAAACCCCAGUAGUCC
rnacentral:rRNA from 1 species